UAUCAAGAAGCUGCAUGGAGAUGAAUCUGCAUGUGUGCCACGCAUUCGCAUUCGCACUGUGACCUCCAGGAACGUAUGCUGCUUAGAGAAUGCGUGACCUGAGCUAAUCAACGAUUCCAUGAAACAGAAUCUGCAGGGCUCCCAGAUGUCUCCUUCGGCCUGUUACAUAAAUUCCCAGAAAAUCAUUAGACCCAUACAGCCUGAAAAUGUUUAUUGGGCGCAUGGCGUGCAAAUAUUGAAAAUUCGUCUUUUUUUCACCUUGCUCAGCGCAUUUGUUGAUAAGAUUCACCGGGCGAAAGGCUACAACAGCCAAAGCGGUUAAAUGCCGGACCAGACUGCCUAACGCCAGUCUGGACCGGCUCAAACCGGUGACAGGUGAUUACAGCACUUGCCGGUAAUCGCAGCAGCAGCACUCUUUACCGGCCCAGAUCUGCUCCGGGCUAUCGUUUCGCUCUUUAUCGUUUGGCGGGGAAAUCAUAUUCAAUGCUGCAUUCUUCAGUUGGAGUACUUUUGAUUAAAGGUGUGAGCUGAGAAAAUAUCUUCAUAGAAUGGAAAAUAUAGAUUCCUUCUUUGUAAGUAGACAAAGGCUUAGCGAUCACAAGGAAUACAAAGCCCAAAUUGAGCACAUAAAUCAGAGCACAAAUUAAUGCGACGACAAACGAAUGUGCAGGAAAAACAACAGAAUAUUUAAUAUAUGCAUGAAAAGCGAAUGGAAAUGAAAACCAAGCAAGAGCAGAACAGGGAAUCGGCUAAUGGGAAUUGAAAACUGGCAGCUGGGAAUUGAAAUGGGGCAAAGUACGUUGACGAUUGUGAUUACGCCUACUCUAUGCGAUUGCCUUUUUUAUUAAUAUUAUUGUUAUUAUUUACUUUUUUUUUUUUGCUUUUUAAAUAAUUGGCCGCACGUGACGCAAUCAGCGGUUGCAUUUCAUUGAUGAUUUGUGCUGUCUCUCAAUUAAUAUGGAAAAUGUCGUAUUUUUACUCGCAUUUCGUUAAAAUCAAUCAAGUUCAAUUGAAAGCAGAGCAGGCGGUUUGCAUUAAAUUUCUUUUCUUUCCAGUUUCGUGAACUUUGUCAAGCGUUGAUAAAGAAUUAAAGGCAAAUUCGACGAAACGAACAGAUUCUCAAAGAAAAUCGCAUAGUAUAUUUGCCUUGAUUUAUGUGCCCCAUUGAAGGCGAACAGGUUUCUCAAUUUAAGGCAUUUAAAAUAGAUUUUUUUUGUUUUUUGCAUUCCUUCAUUUGGCAAAUGCAUAAAUUUGAUUUUGGAGCACGCCGUUGCGGUUACCAACUGUCACCACGUGCCAACUGCCGGACUGGUACUGACUGUGCCCCCGGUACUGGGUACUACUUACUCAGUUGGAGUCGGAUCCAUUAACAUGCCCCAUGCCGAAAACCAGACGCCUGGCCUCGUGACCAAGUCAGAAACAAUUGUUAAUGAAUGCCGCUUAGUCUUUUAUAUUGUUUUCGCAUAAUCACGCUGCCAACACUAGAUAUUAAAAUAAUCGAGGUUGUAGAUUGUCGAGAUGAGAGAGCGAGAGCGAGAGAUAGAGAGAGAGAAGCAAUAUCUCAUUUUAAAAGAUGCUAAAUGCUGUUUAUGAAAACAAAUGAGCAUAAUUUAAGGCAAAGGGUACGACUGCAGGAUGCCCUGUACGCACUUUGAGAACUUGAAGAGAAACUAAAUUAGUCUAAAGUCGAUAAAAGUCAAGUGAAUCAAGAGAAGUUUAAUUAGGCAAAAAAUUAAAUAAGCUCACAAUUCUAAAACAAGUUAUAAGA